GUUUAGCCCUGAUUGAAACGGCAUCCUUUUUGCUUUUUCUGCAAAAAGAUAUAGUGAAAAGCAGGAAAUAGC
rnacentral:sRNA from 1 species